CAAAAGGCUGUACUAACAGCCACUAUGGAUUCAGAAUCCAAAGCAGU
rfam:Tinamus guttatus contig47971, whole genome shotgun sequence.